rnacentral:pre_miRNA from 1 species
GGGGGGAGGCCUGAUCCUGGGCUGUGUCCCGGCGCCCUGUGCUCCGGGGCCUGCGCUGUUGGAUUCGCGCUCCCAGCCGAGCAGCCUCCU